ensembl:lncRNA
CUAGAACUGAGGUUUCAAGUGCCUUUUGACUCAACUGAGUCUGAGCCCUAAUUCUGCCCUCUUCUGCUCAGCUUCUUCCUAACUCAGAGCUCAGUCUCCACCUGACUUUCCCCCAGAGUUUUGCUAUUACAUGGCUGAACUCCAGUUUGGCAGGUGCUGCUGCUGGUUCACUCUCCGGUUUCCAGAUAUUUCCAGGUAAAAUCUGAGAGCUUUGAGCUUCUGUUGGUGCACAUCCAACAAGUAUCACGAGGGCUGCGUCAGAGAGAAAGUCUCCAGCUCUGUUCCUUCUUGGGGCUCUGACCAUGCUCCUAUGCCUAGACAGCUGACACAGUGAGAAAGCUCUGUGCCUAAAACCAGAAAUAACAAAUGGAAAGCUGUCUGUGGAGAAGGAUCAGUAUGUCAACCCUGAAACUGUCACCACCCAGUGUGACCUGUGUUAUAGGAUGAUUGGCUCCCAGAGUAUCUCUUGCUCAGGGAAAAAGUCUUGGAAUCCAGAUGUGCCCAAGUGCAAGAGGGACCUCUAGGACCAGUUCAACUGACCCCAUCUUAUCAACAAAGUACUUACAAGUGCCUUUUCAGGAACUGAGAAUCCUGCUUUGUCCAGUUCAGGCCUGUUGUGACUACCAACCCAUCAACUGGGCCUGGGCAAAUGCUCCAUAAGUGACCUUUAUGACAUCAAGGGGCUGAAGACUUGACCCUCAGAUCACACUAAAAUCAACAUUUUGUGAACAUGCAUCCUAUGAAGAGGCAUGAAGCUUGGCUACACUGGCACAGAUCAUCUAUUACUUUACUUGUCCUUACCUCCCAUCAUCUACCUCCAUACUUCAGACUGCUCUGCCCUUCAUCCCACAUAUUGUGCCCCAAGCCCUGGAUUGGAGAGACAGAUCUGAGAGCAUAUGCCUCCUGUCUCCUUGCAGAUCAAUCUAACAAUAAAGCUAUUUUCUUUUCCCAAAAGCUGAUGCCAUAAUAAUUGGCUUUUUAAAUGCACAUUAGAUAAGAGAACCCCAAUUUUGUGCAGUAACAACCAGUCUGGCUAUAAGUUUAUCAAUUUUAUUGCUUGUCAUAUAACCAGCUUUUGGUUUCAUUGAUUUGCUCUGUUGUUUUUCUCUUUGCUAUUUCAUUGAUUUCUACUUUGAUCUUUAUUCCUUCUGCUUACUUCGGGUUUAAUUGGCUCUUCUGUUUCUAGUUUCUUAAGGUGGAAACUGAGGUCAUUGACUUAGAUCUUCUUUUCUAAUGUAAGCAUUUAAUCUAUAAAUUUCUCCCUGAGAACUACUAUAACGGCAUUCCACAAAUUUUAGUAUGUUGUGCUACAAAUUCAUUCAGUACAAAAGACUUUCUAAUUUCUUUUCAAUAUCUUCCUUUGAUCCAUGGGUUACUUAAAAGUGUGUUAUUUAAUUUUCAAAUAUUUUGAGAAUUUUGCAAGUAUCCUUCUGUUAUAGAUGUCUAAUUUAAUUCCAGUUUGAACAGACAGCAUACUGUGUAUGAUUUGAAUCCUUUCAAAAGUUUCUUGGUGCAUGUUUUCUGGCUUAGAUUGUGGUAUCUUGCUAAAUGUCCCAUGUGCAUUUGAAAAGAUUGUAUAUUUUGCUACUCUUGUGGGACAUUUUCUAUAAAUGUCAAUUAGGUAAAGUUGGUUGCUAGUAUUAUUCCGGUCUUCUCUAUUCUUGCUGAUUUUCUGUCUACUUGUUCUGUAAAUUAUUGAGAGAGGGCUAUCAAAAUUCCCAGUUAUAAUUGUGGAUUUGUCUAUUUUUCAUUGCAGCUCUCAAUUUUUGCUCCAUGUAUUUUGAAGUUCUCUUAUUAGAGGCAUAAAUGUUUAGAAUUUGUUUAUGUCUACUUGAUGAAUUGACCCAUUUAUCAUUAUGUGAUGACUUUAUCUUUGAUAAUGUUCUCUCUUCUCAAAUAUAUUAAAAUAUAAUUUGUCUGAUCUUAAUACAACCACUUCACCUUUAUUUUUCCAUAAAUUGCUAGAAUAAAUUCUGAGAGCCAAAAAUGUGAGCCACAUUGUGUAAUUUUCUAGUAGUCACAUUAAGAAAGGUAAAAAUAAACAAGCAAAAUUAAUUUUAAU